rnacentral:tRNA from 1 species
GGGAAAGUAGUUAAACAUAACAUUUGGGUUGCAUUCAAAAAGUACUUCUAGUCUUUCUCG